GAUGAACGCUGGCGGCGUGCUUAACACAUGCAAGUCGAACGGUGAACGAGGGAGCUUGCUCCCUCCGGAUCAGUGGCGAACGGGUGAGUAACACGUGAGCAAUCUGCCCUGGACUCUGGGAUAAGCGUUGGAAACGACGUCUAAUACCGGAUACGAGACGUGAAGGCAUCUUCAACGUCUGGAAAGAACUUCGGUCCAGGAUGAGCUCGCGGCCUAUCAGGUAGUUGGUGAGGUAACGGCUCACCAAGCCUACGACGGGUAGCCGGCCUGAGAGGGUGACCGGCCACACUGGGACUGAGACACGGCCCAGACUCCGACGGGAGGCAGCAGUGGGGAAUAUUGCACAAUGGGCGCAAGCCUGAUGCAGCAACGCCGCGUGAGGGACGACGGCCUUCGGGUUGUAAACCUCUUUUAGCAGGGAAGAAGCGAAAGUGACGGUACCUGCAGAAAAAGCACCGGCUAACUACGUGCCAGCAGCCGCCGUAAAAC
rnacentral:rRNA from 1 species